rnacentral:rRNA from 1 species
UACGGGGGGGGCAAGCGUUGUUCGGAAUUACUGGGCGUAAAGGGUUCGUAGGUGGCCAACUAAGUCAGACGUGAAAUCCCUCAGCUUAACUGGGGAACUGCGUCUGAUACUGGUGUGGCUUGAGUGCAGGAGAGGAACGCGGAAUUCCAGGUGUAGCGGUGAAAUGCGUAGAUAUGACCCGGAACACCGAUUGCGAAGGCAGCCCACUAAGCAAUGAUUGACGCUGAGGCACGAAAGCGUGGGGAUCAAACAGG